GAUGAACGCUGGCGGCGUGCCUAAUACAUGCAAGUCGAGCGAACAGACGAGGAGCUUGCUCCUCUGACGUUAGCGGCGGACGGGUGAGUAACACGUGGAUAACCUACCUAUAAGACUGGGAUAACUUCGGGAAACCGGAGCUAAUACCGGAUAAUAUAUUGAACCGCAUGGUUCAAUAGUGAAAGACGGUUUUGCUGUCACUUAUAGAUGGAUCCGCGCCGCAUUAGCUAGUUGGUAAGGUAACGGCUUACCAAGGCAACGAUGCGUAGCCGACCUGAGAGGGUGAUCGGCCACACUGGAACUGAGACACGGUCCCGACUCCUACGGGAGGCAGCAGUAGGGAAUCUUCCGCAAUGGGCGAAAGGUUGACGGAGCAACGCCGCGUGAGGGAUGAAGGUCUUCUGAUCGUAAAACUCUGUUAUUAGGGAAGAACAAAUGUGUAAGUAACUAUGCACGUCUUGACGGUACCUAAUCAGAAAGCCACGGCUAACUCCGUG
rnacentral:rRNA from 1 species